UAAGUUCCCGGGCCCUUGUACACACCGCCCGUCCAAGCGAUGGAAGUCGGGAGUACCUGAAGUCGAUCACCGCAAGGAGUCGCCUAGGGUAAAACCGAUAACUGGCGCU
rnacentral:rRNA from 1 species